rnacentral:rRNA from 1 species
CCGGCGACCGGCGCACGGGUGAGUAACACGUAUGCAACCUGCCCUCUUCAGGGGGGCAACCUUCCGAAAGGGAGGCUAAUCCCGCGUAUAUCGGUUUCGGGCAUCCGAGAUCGAGGAAAGAUUCAUCGGAAGAGGAUGGGCAUGCGGCGCAUUAGCUAGACGGCGGGGUAACGGCCCACCGUGGCGACGAUGCGUAGGGGUUCUGAGAGGAAGGUCCCCCACACUGGUACUGAGACACGGACCAGACUCCUACGGAAGGCAGCAG